UUGCAGCUCAUAGAACGUAUCAGAAAUAGAAUCACAAGAUCGACACGUUAUGUAAUACAGGUGCAAUUAUAAGCAAGAAACACUGUUCUCUUCAAGUUAAUGACCCAAUAAAUAGGUAAUUCUUAAUAAAACACGAAUUGAAAUGUAAUGAAUCUGGAUUGUUGAAAAAAUUGGACUUUCUCAAAAACUGCCUGAAAUUCUAAAAAAAAGUUCGAUUAUAGCCGAUAUACUUUUUCAUCUACAGAAACAGACAUAAAGUUCACAAUUUCCACAUAACAAAAAGUCCGAACAUGUUUGCAGGGAAUUAGAUAAUUCUUCAAAUCAAAAGAAAACUCUUGUCAGCUUUAAUUAUCUCUUUAUUGUUGUUUAUACAGGUAAUUCUUAAUAUAAUAAAUCUUAGAAUGGAAAACACAAUUAGCUUUUCGAUAUUUUCUCAUGUAAAACCUGUAAAACAUAUCAAGCAAGAAUGUAAAAGUUUCAGGAAAGCAUUUUUUUUAUGGGAA